CUAAGCAGACUAAUCCUGAUGGAAUGGAACAUCUUCCUUCUUUCAUCGUUCCACUCCUCACAACAUUAAAGGACAAUGUAAUGCUCAUCAAGACCUGUAAGAUGAAGAGGAGGGGACGGAGAAAAAAAAAAAUGGAGACAGAUAAACGGUGAAAAGGCGAUUAAAAACUAUGCGAAAGGAGAUUUGGCUCAGAAAGAAUGUCACUUCCAGGAUGUAAAUUAUUUCCUGCUGAGUCUCCACAAGUGACCGUGAAAACAGAUUUCCGCACUCCUUGACUUCUCAAUGUUCGAUUGUGACCUGGAAAUAAAUCUCGGUGCGUGAUCUUGAAGGAUGUCUCAGUUUCUGGAAAUGCACACUGACGGCCAGGGAUCAAGGACUGAGAUGGUUGGAUGGAGGAGCAACAACCAAGAAGGCAAAGAUGAAACUAUAGUCAAUGCUUUGUGGAAGUCCUGCAAGGAAACUGGACUGUAGAGGGACAGCAAAGCAGCCAACAGGUACUCAGCAUCUCUGGGAACUCCUUCAAGACUGUUGGAAAACCACUGUCAGAGAUGUUCAGCACCUGCUGGCUGCUCUGCCUUCCCUCUGCUGUUCAACCCAUCCAAAAACCACUUCACUUGGGUUUAACUCAGGUGAUUGUGGA